AUUGAACGUUGGCGGAAUGCCUUACACAUGCAAGUCGAACGGCAGCACGGGAGCAAUCCUGGUGGCGAGUGGCGAACGGGUGAGUAAUACAUCGGAACGUGCCCAAUCGUGGGGGAUAACGUAGCGAAGCUACGCUAAUACCGCAUACGAUCUACGGAUGAAAGCAGGGGAGUCGCAAGACCUUGCGCGAAUGGAGCGGCCGAUGGCAGAUUAGGUAGUUGGGGGGUAAAGGCUCACCAAGCCUUCGAUCUGUAGCUGGUCUGAGAGGACGACCAGCCACACUGGGACUGAGACACGGCCCAGACUCCUAC
rnacentral:rRNA from 1 species